rnacentral:rRNA from 1 species
GUGAGGAAUUUUCCGCAAUGGGCGAAAGCCUGACGGAGCAAUGCCGCGUGAAGGAUGAAGGCCUAUGGGUUGUAAACUUCUUUUCUCAGAAAAGAAUUAUGACGGUAUCUGAGGAAUAAGCAUCGGCUAACUCUGUGCCAGCAGACGCGGUAAGAAAGAGGAUGCAAGCGUUAUCCGGAAUGAUUGGGCGUAAAGCGUCUGUAGGUUGUUUAAAAAGUAUUCUGUCAAAGAUUAGGGCUUAACCCUAGAUAGGCAGAAUAAACUUUUAAGCUAGAGUUUGGUAGAGGCAGAGGGAAUUCCCGGUGGAGCGGUAAAAUGCGUAGAUAUCGGGAGGAACACCAAAGGCGAAGGCACUCUGCUGGGCCAAUACUAACACUGAGAGACGAAAGCGAGGGGAGCAAAUGGGAUUAGAUACCCGAGUAGUCC